GUUUGGGAGAAUUUAUAUGUGCCAAACUUGAGAUAUAAUGACUUCAAACACAAGAAAAUAUAUAUAUACAAGAUAUUGCGAGCGUCCUGUUACUCUUAGUUAUCUUUUAGAUGCAAUAUCUGUAAAGUAUUGGAUGAGAACUGAUUUUAAAAAGUCACCGAGUAAAAAUGAAAAAGUCAGAUGACUGUAACAAAGCAGCAGAAAUCCCACACAUUAAUAGCCCUCUCUCAUCACUAUGCUGAAAUUAAAAAUAUAAUUUUUGACUGUACAAUGAACAACAUUACGAAGUACUCCAGCGGACGAAGUACUCCAGCGGACGAAGUACUCCAG